UACGUAGGGGGCGAGCGUUGUCCGGAAUUAUUGGGCGUAAAGAGCGUGUAGGCGGUUCGGUAAGUCUGCCGUGAAAACCUGGGGCUCAACCCUGGGCGUGCGGUGGAUACUGCGGGCUAGAGGGUGGUAGAGGCGAGUGGAAUUCCCGGUGUAGCGGUGAAAUGCGCAGAUAUCGGGAGGAACACCAGUAGCGAAGGCGGCUCGCUGGGCCAUUCCCGACGCUGAGGCGCGAAGCGUGG
rnacentral:rRNA from 1 species